GAUGAAGAACGCAGCAAAAUGCGAUAAGUAAUGUGAAUUGCAGAAUUCAGUGAAUCAUCGAAUCUUUGAACGCACAUUGCGCCCGCCAGUAUUCUGGCGGGCAUGCCUGUUCGAGCGUCAUUUCAACCCUCAAGCCCAGCUUGGUGUUGGGGAUCGGCACAGGCGCCCUCGGGCGCCAGCCGUCCCCUAAAUCUAGUGGCGGUCCCGCUGCAGCCUCCUCUGCGUAGUAGUUUUCUCCUCGCAAGGGCAGCUCGGUGGCGACCUCGCCGUAAAACCCCCAACUUCUGAAAGGUUGACCUCGAAUCAGGUAGGAAUACCCGCUGAACUUAAGCAUAUCAAUAAGCGGAGGA
rnacentral:misc_RNA from 1 species